GAUGAACGCUGGCGGCGUGCCUAAUACAUGCAAGUCGAGCGAACAGAUGAUGAUCUUGCGCCUCUCUCGUUAGCGGCGGACGGGUGAGUAACACGUGUAUCACCUACUUAUAAUUCUGGGAUAUCUACGGGACACCGGAUCUAAUACCGGAUAAUAUACUGAACCGCAUGGUUCAUUAGUGAAAGACGGCUUUGCUGUCUCUACUAGCUGCUUCUGCGCCGCAUUAGCUAGUUGGUAAGGUAACGGCUUAUCAAGGCAACGAUGCGUAGCCGAGCUGAGAGGGUGAUCGGCCACACUGGAACGGGGACGGGGUCCAGACUCCUACGGGAGGCAGCAGUAGGGAAUCGGCCGCAGUGGGCGAGAGCCUGGCGGAGUAACGCCGCGUGUGUGAUGAAGGUCUUCGGAUCGUAAAACUCUGUUAUUAGGGAAGAACAAAUGUGUAAGUAACUAUGCACGUCUUGACGGUACCUAAUCAGAAAGCCACGGCUAACUACGUG
rnacentral:rRNA from 1 species